UCUUGCCCUUGCUCCAGCCAUGUGACAUGCCUGCUCCCUCUUCGCCUUCCACCAUGAUUGACCAAGACACUUUUCUCUCCCCUGGAUCCGUGAGUUGCCAGUAGAUGUCCUGAUUUCGAAAGGGACCAGAGAAGAACUUGUGAAUUAACAAGAAAAAUGCAUUGCACCUGGACAAACAACUCAACGCAGAUGGCCUAUAGAAGGGUCGGCCAUGUUACGUUCCUAUAGAGAGGCUAAACCAUUGUUCAGAAAGCUCAGAUGAACUGUUUACCAUCUCCCCUGAGAAUCAGACAAGAGGAAACUGGUUAAAAUCACAACAGGAAGUUUACAUUAUAGUUUUUUAAAGUCUGCUGACAGUGAGUGGUCCUGGAUAAUAUUAUUGUGGUUCUGGGAGGAUAUAAAUGCUUUGGUACCUAUCCCCUGAUGACAGAGAGGCUCUAGCACGUACAUCUUGUGUGGGCUCGAAGAGUGCUUUUAAGUUCAAAACUUCAAAUAGAUGGAAGAGAGAGAUCCAAACCUCCAUGAAACCUGUUUAGGAACCUGCAUCUCAGAUGGAAACUCGAACGACAACAGAUACCUGAAUAUUUGCCUAAGCAAACUUGGCUACAGCAUUCUGCCCAUGCUUGGUGCUGCUUCUCCAAAAGGCGACUCUGGCGUGUGUUGGGCGUUACAUCAUUCUCUCCUUCAGGGGCUUAAAUGAUGAAAUAUCAAGAGAGGGAAUUAAAUAUAUGGGAUUGGGGGCUGUGAGACAUUUAGCGACGAUGACCUUACUCAAGAUGACAUAAGGAAGCUUAUUCACCCCGCCCUUCCUUGUUUGAACAGUGACUCGGCCAUGAGACUUGUUUUUAAAGCAACUAGAAAUAGAAUCUAUCACUGUUUGCUAUGAUAUCAAAAAUGCGUGUCUUGGGCUGGGAAGUAGGAAUACAACAAGGGAGUAUGCUUUAAACCAGGCUGGAGUUUUG
rnacentral:lncRNA from 10 species